rnacentral:rRNA from 1 species
UACGUAGGGUGCGAGCGUUUAAUCGGAAUUACUGGGCGUAAAGUGUGCGCAGGCGGCCGAGCAAGUCGAGUGUGAAAGCCCCCGAGCUUAACUUGGGAACUGCGCUCGAAACUACUUGGCUAGAGUGUGGCAGAGGGAGGUGGAAUUCCACGUGUAGCGGUGAAAUGCGUAGAGAUGUGGAGGAACACCGAUGGCGAAGGCAGCCUCCUGGGCCAACACUGACGCUCAUGCACGAAAGCGUGGGGAGCAAACAGG